rnacentral:rRNA from 1 species
UUGGAGGGCAAGUCUGGUGCCAGCAGCCGCGGUAAUUCCAGCUCCAGUAGCGUAUAUUAAAGUUGUUGCAGUUAAAAAGCUCGUAGUUGAAUUUCGGGAUCAGAGUGUCGGUCGUGCCUCGGUACGCACUGGUAUUAUUGGUUCCUACCUUCUGAGGAACCGCGAUGUCAUUAAUUUGGUGUCGUGGGGAAUCAGGACUGUUACUUUGAAAAAAUUAGAGUGUUUAAAGCAGGCUUACGCUUGAAUACAUUAGCAUGGAAUAAUGAAAUAGGACGUUUGAUUCUAUUUUGUUGGUUUCUAGGAUUGACGUAAUGAUUAAUAGGGAUAGUUGGGGGCAUUAGUAUUCAAUUGUCAGAGGUGAAAUUCUUGGAUUUAUUGAAGACUAACUACUGCGAAAGCAUUUGCCAAGGAUGUUCUCAUUAAUCAAGAACGAAAGUUAGGGGAUCGAAGACGAUCAGAUACCGUCGUAGUCUUAACCAUAAACUAUGCCGACUAGGGAUCGGAUGAUGUUAAUUUUUUAAUGACUCAUUCGGCGCCUUACGGGAAACCAAAGUGUUUGGGUUC